AACGAACGCUGGCGGCAGGCCUAACACAUGCAAGUCGAGCGCCCCGCAAGGGGAGCGGCGGACGGGUGAGUAACGCGUGGGAAUAUGCCCUUUGCUACGGAAUAGUCUCGGGAAACUGGGGGUAAUACCGUAUACGCCCUUUGGGGGAAAGAUUUAUCGGCGAAGGAUUAGCCCGCGUUGGAUUAGGUAGUUGGUGGGGUAAUGGCCUACCAAGCCGACGAUCCAUAGCUGGUUUGAGAGGAUGAUCAGCCACACUGGGACUGAGACACGGCCCAGACUCCUACGGGAGGCAGCAGUGGGGAAUCUUAGACAAUGGGGGCAACCCUGAUCUAGCCAUGCCGCGUGAGUGAUGAAGGCCUUAGGGUUGUAAGCUCUUUCAGCUGGGAAGAUAAUGACGGUACCAGCAGAAGAAGCCCCGGCUAACUCCGUG
rnacentral:rRNA from 1 species